rnacentral:rRNA from 1 species
CCUUUAUAUCCUGGGCUACACACACGCUACAAUGGCCAACACAAUAGGGUUGCUAAGCCGCGAGGUGGAGCCAAUCCAAUAAAGUUGGUCUCAGUUCAGAUUGUAGGCUGCAACCCGCCUGCAUGAAGAUGGAGUUGCUAGUAACCGCAGGUCAGCUAUACUGCGGUGAAUACGUUCCCGGGGCUU